GAUGAACGCUGGCGGCGUGCCUAAUACAUGCCAGUCAAGCGAACAGACGAGGAGCUUGCUCCUCUGACGUUAGCGGCGGACGGGUGAGUAACACGUGGAUAACCUACCUAUAAGACUGGGAUAACUUCGGGAAACCGGAGCUAAUACCGGAUAAUAUAUUGAACCGCAUGGUUCAAUAGUGAAAGACGGUUUUGCUGUCACUUAUAGAUGGAUCCGCGCCGCAUUAGCUAGUUGGUAAGGUAAUGGCUUACCAAGGCAACGAUGCGUAGCCGACCUGAGAGGGUGAUCGGCCACACUGGAACUGAGACACGGUCCAGACUCCUACGGGAGGCAGCAGUAGGGAAUCUUCCGCAAUGGGCGAAAGCCUGACGGAGCAACGCCGCGUGAGUGAUGAAGGUCUUCGGAUCGUAAAACUCUGUUAUUAGGGAAGAACAAAUGUGUAAGUAACUAUGCACGUCUUGACGGUACCUAAUCAGAAAGCCACGGCUAACUACGUG
rnacentral:rRNA from 1 species